CGGAGCGGGCCCGGCCCGAGCCCAGCGCCGCCCCGGCACCGGGCCCGCGUCACUUCCUGCGCUGCCGGGCCGGGACUGUCGGGGUUCGGCUGCGCUCCGGGGCAGUCCCGCCGGGCUCUACAGCUCCAGGGCCGAGGGCGGCUCCCGGACCCUCAUCCCGUGAUACGGGUGACGCUGUUGACGGGACUCGGCCUUCUUUUUCCUGAUUCUGGUCACAGCCUUCUCUCAGGCAUCCACCUGCUCCGGCGUGGGGCUCCUCCACGGUCUGCAGGUGGAUCGCUACAUCCCUGUGUUUCUCCAUGGGCUGCAGGAGAAUCUCCGCUCCGGCUGGAGCAUCUCCUCCCCCUCCUUCAUCACUGACCUUGGUGUCUGCAGAGUUGCUGCUCUCCCAUAUUCUCACUCCUGUCCGAGCACAAUCACAUUUGCACAAUAACUUUUUUUCCUUCUUAAAUCUCUUACCGGAGAGGUGCUGCCACCGUUAGUGAUGGGCUCAGCCCUGGCCAGCGUUGGGUUAGUCCUGGAGCUGGCUGGAAUUGGCCCUGUCGGACAUGGAGGAAGCCUCUGGCAAUUUACCACAGCAGUCCCCCUGCAGCCCCCCUGCUACCGAAACCUGGCCAUGCAAACCCAAUACCGCCGUCUAUCUUAAAAAAGUGAUUCAAGUGAAAUGAUACAAGAAAUACAGGCACUGCCUCUGAGUUUCCAUUACUAACAGAGGAUCGAUUAAUAAUGCAAGUACUGUAAUAUUGCAAGUGGGUUUUUUUCAAACCUUUUAAGUUUUGUAUCCCUUGCAUUUCAGGUGACUUAAAAAUGACACAUCAUGCGACACAAGCAGGUGUCAGAGAAACACCAGACUAAAGGAGCUAUCUAUUGCUGUGCAAGCUUUAGUCAAGAUGUCAUUUCAGCUGGCAGCCUGAGAUGUCCAAAGUGUUCAUAUGAAGCUGUGAGCUCUGACAGGUGUAGAGACCCUGCCCAGAAUAGGAUAGAGAAAUGUGAAGCAAAGGAGAAAAGUUCACAGAAAAGAUACAGGGAGCUGUGAGGCUGAGGAAUUUUAAGAAGAUGUGAGAGGAAAUCAGAAUGCGGAAAACACUGACCGAGUGACAGAAGAUGAUACGCAGUUCAAGAAUGUUGCAUAGCUUAAAGUGGGUGAUUAGAAAGCAAAUCCAAGGCUUUAGCAGUGAAGGAAAUGGUGGCUUGUGUAAAGAAAGAAACUGCAAGAUUUUUUAAAACUUCACAGAGCGUAAAGAUGUUCAUUUUUUACUUUUGUUCUUCAUUCCUGGAUAACAGUCUGUAGCACUAUCAGUUGAAAAAAGAAAUUCUGCUCCAAAACCAAGUUUAAAAUAGGGGUUUUUGUGAGCAUUGAGGAAUCUUCUAGCAAUUACUUUUAAUGUUUUAGGCAGAGAUAAUCUAAAAGAGCUGUAGACUAGACAGACAAUUUGAAGAAUAGUCUAUGUUCCCUUUUACAAUUAGGUAGUGAAACACUGCUUCUGGGAAUUCUAAAAUAAGUAUUUUCUUUUUGCAUUCAGAAUUGGGUUGUUAAUCAUUUAAAUCAGCAUUUCAAAUAUACAGUGAAGAUAUAACUUCAUUUGAAAUAUAAAGAUGUAAUACAAAAUCCCUCAUUUGAGUUUUCUUAACACCUGCAGUAGGAGUUCAUGGUGUAUGACAGCUACU
rnacentral:lncRNA from 1 species